rnacentral:rRNA from 1 species
UGGUGAUAUUACAAGGCACCAAGUUGGUCUCCAAGGGGAAACCAUAAGUUUUUUCGGUUACGGGGAGAGUAUGGUCGCAAGGCUGAAAUUUAAAGGAAUUGACGGAAGGGCACCACCAGGGGUGGAACCUGCGGCUUAAUUUGACUCAACACGGGGAAACUUACAUGGUCCAGACAUCGAUAGGAUAAACAGACUGAUAGAUCUUUUUUGAUGCGGUGAGUGUGGUGCAUGGCCGUUCCUAGUUCGUGGAGUGAUCUGUCAGGUUUAUUCCGGUAACGAACGAGACUACAACCUUCAUUUAAGAGGCAAAAGCAGGUUUCGCGAUUGACUGUACCUUGGUGCUUUCUUUCGUGUCUCUGAAAGAAGAAUAUGCUGUUAUUCAGUUGGCAGGGUGAUCGGGCAACCGUGAAGUCUGUCAGCCGGGUAAUAUGUGUAUUUUCUCUUUUGUCAAGCAGUCCGAGGGUAACCUUUGGCUGACUUAUGGAGGGACUGCUGGUGUUACAAAACCAGAGGAAGUGUGGCGAUAACAGGUCAGUGAUGCCCUUCGAUGUCCAUGGCUGCACGCGCGUUACAAUGAUAACGUCAGAAAGUAUCUGUUUCGAGAGAAAUAGGUAAUCUUUAAUCGUUAUCGUGAUGGGGAUUGACCGUUGUAAAUCGGUCAUGAAAUAGGAAUCCCGAGUAUAUGCUAUUUAUUAAAUAGUAUAGAUUUAGUCCCUGCCCUUUGUACACACCGCCCGUCGCUACUACCGAGUGAAUGGUGUCAUGAUGCGCUGGGACCGUACUUUGAAGAGGUGUCGGAACCUUUUCAAAGAUGGAUCAGCGUAAAGUGCUAGUUUCGG